AUGUCGAUGAGGGUGGGAUCAUACGCAGUAAAGUGACGCGUCGUAGGAAAUUUCAGUAAAUCGCGAAAACUUCGUAAUGGUGUUCGAGCUUGCAAUGUUUUGGGAUGCCCUUCCGGGGCUAAUAUGACGAUUCAAGUUUCCGAAAAAUUCUGACCAGAGAAGGACGGCAUGGUCAUCAAAAAUUGGCGAUGAUAUAUUAAAAAAAUACUACAUCAGAAAAGCACACAGUUAGCUCGACACGAGCUCGAGCAGGUGUUGCUGUUGAAGCAAACGUAAUAGACCAAUCGUGAGCGAGGACGUCACAGCGUAUUGCCUGGUGCUGCCACGCUUUGCUUGGCGUCGCUAUAUAGUAUAGUAUUUCUUUGUUUCCUGACUAUUCCAGACAUUUCCGCAGCCUUCGUGAGGAAUUGAAUUUCGGUUUUGUGAGGAAAAGCUUCCUAAUGGUUCGAGCAUGUUGUGUUCUGGGAUGCCCUUCCGGGGCUAAUAUGACGAUUCAAGUUUCCGAAAAAUUCUGACCAGAGAAGGACGGCAUGGUCACCAAAAAUUGGCGAUGAUAUAUUAAAAAAUACUGCAUCAGAAAAGCACACAGAAGCUUCCUAAUGGGUCGAGCAUGUUGUGUUCUGGGAUGCCCUUCCGGGGCUAAUAUGACGAUUCAAGUUUCCGAAAAAUUCUGACCAGAGAAGGACGGCAUGGUCACCAAAAAUUGGCGAUGAUAUAUUAAAAAAUACUGCAUCAGAAAAGCACACAGGUAUAACAGAAAUAUUCUUUAUAAUCUCACUCGAUUCAUUUGCUCUCUUUAUUCAAUGCUCUGAGCUACACGAACCAUUCAUUUGUCACCCAUUUUGUUUAUGAAACUUGGCGUGAUUCCAUGAGUUCUUUUUUCCUUAAUGUUCGCACAAUUAUUUUCAUUGCAAUUAGAAGACAAUCUCCGUCUGCAGAACUUUGCUUUCAAGAAGUUUUGCACAAAACAUGCAUUCUCUAAAUAUUAUUUUAUUUUAAAAUGACUUAUAUUCUGUUGUGUUACAAUACGGUAUGAGUAAUAUCA